AGCGAACGCUGGCGGCAGGCCUAACACAUGCAAGUCGAACGAACCUUUCGGGGUUAGUGGCGGACGGGUGAGUAACACGUGGGAACGUGCCUUUAGGUUCGGAAUAACUCAGGGAAACUUGUGCUAAUACCGAAUGUGCCCUUCGGGGGAAAGAUUAAUCGCCUUUAGAGCGGCCCGCGUCUGAUUAGCUAGUUGGUUGAGGUAAUGGCUCACCAAGGCGACGAUCAGUAGCUGGUCUGAGAGGAUGAGCAGCCACAUUGGGACUGAGACACGGCCCAAACUCCUACGGGAGGCAGCAGUGGGGAAUCUUGCGCAAUGGGCGAAAGCCUGACGCAGCCAUGCCGCGUGAAUGAUGAAGGUCUUAGGAUUGUAAAAUUCUUUAACCGGGGACGAUAAUGACGGUACCCGGAGAAGAAGCCCCGGCUAACUUCGUG
rnacentral:rRNA from 1 species